UGGGGAAUAUAGCACAAUGGGGGAAACCCUGAUGCAGCGACGCCGCGUGAGCGAAGAAGGUUUUCGAAUCGUAAAGCUCUGUCCUAUGGGAAGAUAAUGACGGUACCAUAGGAGGAAGCCCCGGCUAACUACGUGCCAGCAGCCGCGGUAAUACGUAGGGGGCAAGCGUUGUCCGGAAUCACUGGGCGUAAAGGGUUCGCAGGCGGAAAUGCAAGUCAGUUGUGAAAGGCAGAGGCUCAACCUCUGUAAGCAAUUGAAACUGUAUUUCUUGAGAUGUGGAGAGGCAAGUGGAAUUCCUAGUGUAGCGGUGAAAUGCGUAGAUAUUAGGAAGAAUACCGGUGGCGAAGGCGACUUGCUGGACACAAACUGACGCUGAGGAACGAAAGCGUGGGUAGCAAACAGG
rnacentral:rRNA from 1 species